GCACAUUGGGCUGAUGGUUAUUUUGGCUUCAUGUUGGGCUGGCUUUGUUGGUCAAAGUUGUCAAGGCUUUAUUCUAAGUCAAAGAUUACGUUAAUUACCGAAAAAUGAGAGUUAUAACGUGGUUUCACCAAACUACAUGUUAACACACCAAUCUAACAUCAAUGAGAAGAUGAGAGCCAUGCUAAUGGACUGCCUUAUCGAGGUACCGUCAAAGACCCUUUUUUAAUAACUACUAAAAAAAUUUGAAAAUAACCAGGUGCACUAGAAAGAAGUUGCAACUGGUUGGUAUUGGUGGUGUUGAGUGGUGACUUGGUUGUGGUGGUGAAUGGCUACAACGCUGGAUUGAACACCGACGGAGCUUGAAAGUGAUUUUCUAAUUUAACUCGGUUUCAUCAGUUAUUCAUCAAUCGAAGUUAGCGGUUAGGGAAGAUCAAACGUAUUCCAGAGUUUACGUUUUUGUGUUAUAUGAAUCUGAUCGAAUGCCUUUUCUCAAACAAAAUCAUUAUACUCCGGUCAAGCCGUUGACCGUGUCGGCUGCGGUCUCUCACUUCUUUGAAGAACGAGGUGUUGACUGCUAACUGUUUGCGAAAACAUGCCAAUGGGAACUUCAAAUUUUGAUAUGAAAAAAGCUCUUGAGUCACAAGAAAUUCUUGUUCGCUUGGCCUGUUGCUCGACAGGAGCAUGGGAUGUUGUUACAGAGGCAAGAUUCAUUCAAGCAGAAGUUUGGAACCUUAGACGAUCAUAAUACCGACGGUCUACAGGAUUCUACUGAGAAUUUGUAGCCAAUUUGACUACUUAUGGGUUUCAAUGAAGAAAACAAAGCUAAGAAAGGAAUCCACAUAAACCCCAAGAAAUCGCCUCAGGUGGGCUUUUUGAUAAAGCGUGAGAUGUCGAAAUCCAAGAGAGAUCCAGUAGCUUUGUCAAAAAAAAAAAAAAGAGGAAUGGAGCAUAAAGAGAACAUACUGACCAGCUUUGAGAACAUGAGGAAACUCAAGUUUAAGCAUCUCAGAGAGCAACUCAAAUCCACUAGCAGGAAUAGGCCCAUCUGUUAGAAGAUUAUGUGUUCAAGAAAAAGAGAUAAAUGGUGCGGAGAUUAAGGCAAGUUUUGUUGUCCAUCAGGAUGUUAAGAGGAAGAGCCACCGAUGUUACACUUGGAUGGUCAGUUGCUCAUGGCCCACCUUUUACAUUUGCAACUACACUAGAACAUGAGUAUGAAAGUGAUAUAUUUGGAGAAAGAGGUCGGCUUCAUUCUUUGUAGAAAUAAGCUCAGAUACAAGACCAAAUUUUUAUUUCCAAACACAAAUACCCGCAGCAACGUGCGGGCAUUCCCACUAGUUAAUAUUAAACGUUAAGCCGUUUACUUGCCCAGUAGCCGGACUACGUUCUAGAAAGACCGUCUUGCUUUUGACUAUUUAACCCAUUUUUUUUUCAA
rnacentral:lncRNA from 1 species